AUUUAUAUAGCUUAUAUUUAGAGCAUAGUAUUGAAGCUACUAAGGUAAUUUUUUUAUAAAUA
rnacentral:tRNA from 1 species